GAGGGGAAGGAAUGGGUUGCGGAGAGACAUCCCGGCUGAAAAGGUGCUAGACAAGUUUGAGGAGGCCCCCAAGGCCCUUCACCCCGCGGCGCACAGUCAGCUCGCCCGGAUGCGCGAGGAGCGCCGAGAGGCCGCGAACCCGGCAUCCAAUUAGGAGUUUCGGCGGAUUCUCGCCGAGCUAGCCAAGCUGCCGGAUCACUCGGCAACCUUCUGGCUGAGAUCAGGUGUUUGCUCGGGAGGCGAGCAGAGGAGCGCUUGCGGAAGACGUUCCCGCGCCGACGCCCACCGCGUCCUUCACUCCUCACGCCGGAGCCCGGCCACGGGACGUAUGUGGUGUCGGCCACGCGGCCACAGUGGGUGUGCAGCGGCCCCGCACAGAGGGGCCCGACGGGUCACAGUGAAACGGCAGCGCAUUCGGACCCCGGAGAGAGAGAGAGGGUGGGUGAGGUGGGACCAGCCGAGCGGCCGUCCCUCCCCCGGUUCCCGCUCCUCUGUCUAGACAGCCGAGUCUGCUUCUGCGGCUGAGGUCGGGGAGUCGUCCACACGGCGCGUCGCAGGAGCCCCCGCUGCGUACGUUGUUGCGUACACGCACGUCUGCAGCGGGCUUCACGCAAAACCACGUCCUCUGCGUCCCGGGCUCCAGCUAACGGGCCCGCGAAGGCCAAUUGAGACAGAGGUGCCUCAGUGAUGAAGAACUGAUUCGUGGGAUGCGCCAGCCCUUUGGGGACCACACGUCUCGCCGGGACCAGGUGGCCAGGACUUCUGAUGUCUGUGCAGAGAGGAAGGGGAGCUUUGCUGAGGACACCCGCCCGGUGCUGCCGAAAUCCCAGAGUGUGGUGCACAGCACAGCCUUCCCUCAGACGAGACCACUGCUCGACCAUCGUUCUGUCCUGUCUUUGGUGGACAGCAUCUCCGAGACGCCCUCCCAGAGCACCGCAAGCCCAGGGCCGCCUCCUCCCGGACCUUCUGCUGUUGCCCCCACUGGCUGCGCAUCCUUCCGUCUUUCUCCAGGUCCGUCAGCACCCGGGACCCGUGUAUACAUGUGUACGUGUCCUGUCUGUCCACGUUGGUUGCCCUCAGGAGGAUCAGCCCAGUGGGGCAAAUAAGACCCCUUGGCACCGCGGGGCAGGUGACGAAUGGCGAAGAAGGAUGGCAGGCAUAUCUGUUUGUCCGCCCGACGGGCAACCUGCAAACGGCUUCGGACCGGCGACUCCUGGUGUGCUCUCAGCAGGGGAGAGUCAUGUCAUUUCCAGGUUGGCAUAUGAUGUUAGGAUGUGUGACCAGGGUGACCUACGGUGACACACAAGACCUGUAGCAACGUGUCAGGUGCAAGAACCCGCCACUGCCGGAGUCAGGGGGAGGUGCGGGUAGGGCGAGCUCAGCAUGUGUGGCGCCCAUCGUGUGCGGUGUGGUCGGCAGCCCAGGGAACCGUCCUCUGACGCCGUUGCCUCCAGAACCCAUGAUCCCUUUUCCACGAGCAGGAGUCUCAGACACUGGACUAUGCAGACAUUAGAUCCCAGAUGACGCCAGGGUCUGUAGGAUGUCACCACGCCUCCUGCAAGGGAAGACUAGUCCCAGAGCUGACCCGGGGCUGAGGUUCACAGGACCAGCGGGUGACUGACAGGGGGACCAGACAGGGAGGCGCUGUGGCCGCGGACAUCCCAGAGCAGGAGAUUGUGACUGUUUCCAGAACUAUCACAGCGGGUGGGGCUGAGGUUCAUUCCCCUCAAAAUUAUUUGGGCGCAUUCUUCUAUUUUUUUGCCACUCUUUCAACAAGGAUCUGCAUUUGAUUAUAAUAAAAACCCAUGAGCCGUGGCU